UUUUGCGUACCUAUUGUUUCCUCGGCGGGCUUGCUCGCCGGUUGGACAAAACUAUAACCUUUUUUAAAUCUUCAAUCAGCGUCUGAAUUAUACAUAAUAAUUACAACUUUCAACAACGGAUCUCUUGGUUCUGGCAUCGAUGAAGAACGCAGCGAAAUGCGAUAAGUAGUGUGAAUUGCAGAAUUCAGUGAAUCAUCGAAUCUUUGAACGCACAUUGCGCCCCUUGGUAUUCCAUGGGGCAUGCCUGUUCGAGCGUCAUUUGUACCCUCAAGCUUUGCUUGGUGUUGGGCGUCUUGUCUUGUAUUAGACUCGCCUUAAAGUCAUUGGCAGCCAGUGUUUUUGGUAGUAAGCGCAGCACAUUUUGCGUCUUAGUCCUUGAAUCGUGGCAUCCAUGAAGCCUUUUUUCACUUUUGACCUCGGAUCAGGUAGGGAUACCCGCUGAACUUAAGCAUAUCAAUA
rnacentral:rRNA from 1 species